rnacentral:rRNA from 1 species
GAUCAUGGCUCAGGAUGAACGCUAGCGACAGGCCUAACACAUGCAAGUCGAGGGGCAACAGGUAUCAGCUUGCUGAUACGCUGGCGACCGGCGCACGGGUGAGUAACGCGUAUGCAAUCUACCUGUAACAGGGGGAUAACCCGGAGAAAUCCGGCCUAAUACCCCAUAACGAUACCUAUCCGCAUGAAUAGGUAUCUAAAGGAUUUCCGGUUACAGAUGAGCAUGCGUUCCA